CGAUAAUACUGGCAGCGCGACCAGUUUCUGAGGGUUGUUCACCUUGCUGCUCAGACGCUCCGAGAAGCUUCAGGCAGCAUAACACUUACAGAGACGGGCUCGUGCCAUGUUGCUCAGACUGAUCUCCAACUCCUGGGCUCAGGCGGUUUUCCCGCCUCAGCCUCCCAAAGUGCUGGGAUUACAGGCAUGAGCCACCAUGCCCUGCCUAAUAAAGUUUUUAAAAAGCUGA